AGGGAUCACUUGGCUCCGGAUCUGCUGUGGAACGGAGCGACGCGCGACGAGCUGCGCGAAUCUCUG
rnacentral:rRNA from 1 species